UCCUAACCGCUAAACUUAUUAGAUCCACCCUCACCAACCAGCCGCCUGACGUUCGAGCCGCACCGGCCCUAAACCCUUCCACCUCCAGCCGCCAUAACUGUAAUCCCUUCCACCAUCAGCUGUCCCUCCGUUCGAGCCGUCGACGCCCUAACCCUAUCACCUUCUGGCCGCCCAAAUCCCUUUCGGCUCCUGCCGCCCUCUGUUUAAGGCGCAGACCAUGGAGUCGUCGGUUAUGGCGGCACAGACCAUGGAGUCACAGGCUAUGAUGGCGCAGGUCUUAGUCUUUAGGCCAUGGAGUCGCAGUCAGGCGUUCAAGAUGCUCUGAGACUUGUGUCAGGUUCUUCCAACAUGCAUGAUGGAUUCAGUACACCAAAAAAAUUAAUAUCCUUCUGACAUCGCUGUCCAUCUGUGUACUUGAUUGUGAUGAUAAAUUGAAGCCAGUAAUUGGAACGUCAUUUGGUUCUCUAGAGGAGGUGGAAGAAUUGUACAAGAUAUAUGCUCUUGAGAAUUUUAUUGGCUGCAACAUUCCAGAACAUAUCGAAAUCCAUCCACCAUCCGAUGUUCACUCCCAGUAAAAACAUCAAGAAAUCCAAAGAACUAUUUAAAUCGUGUAAAGGGAAAAAUAGUAAAGUGAGACGAAGGUAGUCAAACAGUCAUAUUGCUAAAGUAUUACAGGUAUGAGAAAGAAUCCAACAACAUGUUGAGGAGCUUCUACAGUGUUAUUGGCAUGGGAAUUUUGUUAGCUUCUAUAGUGCUAUUGGUAUGUUGAGGAGCUUCAACCAGGUAUGGAAUUUUUAACUCUAGCGAGAGUUUUUAGUUGUCACACACUAAUGGCUGAAUUGGGGAAAGUAGUAACUGAAAAUGAGAGUAACCAGCAUCAACAAUAGAUUGCUUUCAAAAUUCAGGAGGAUAGAUCCUUGUUUUGUACAACAUUUUUUUAAGUAUAAGAGUUUUAAAAUAGAACAUAGCAGCAUGAAAGGCUUAUUUUUUCCAGAACAUAGUUUAAUAGACUUAAUAAGUUUAAACGACCCAUAAUUCUGGUGCUCUAUUCUGUAAGUAUAAGAGUUUUAAAGUAGAACAUAGCAGCAUGAAAGGCUUAUUUUUUUCCAGAACAUAGUUUAAUAGACUUAAUAAGUUCAAAUGACCCAUAAUUCUGGUGUUCUAUUCUGUCUUUUAUCUGUUGGGUCAUUAAAAUCUAUAGACUUUAGCGUCCUAUCUUGUCAUGUGUUAGUGACGUAUGAAAUCAUUUGGAGUCGAUGGGAAGAUUAAUAGCCAAAAAUGUUAGAAGAUCAUGCUUGUUUAGACCUCUAUGUUGUACGGACCAGCAGGUUUGAAAUGAUGUUGUCACUGAUCCUUGUUCUCAACUGUUGUAUUAAGCAAGUACUACCAUGGGGAAGUGGGGUGGGACUAGUCCAAAUGUUGUAGUUACUAGAGUUAGCAAGCAGAGGAAUUGGUAAUGGUGAUGCAUUCUCAACUUCUUAUGUGUGCUUGUCGUUCGAUCGUCCAUCAGUUUUUAGACGUACAAAACAUAUCACCGCAUUGACGUCCAUGGCUGCGAGUACAGUACAGUGGUCGGCCGGUUCCAAGUUUACAAACAGCAAGCAGUACUAGUGAGUAGGUGACAUUAGCAGUACAAGCCCUGAAACCUGCAACUAAGCACGAUAGAGAGUAGGGGUGGAGCUCAGGCUCGUCCAUCUCGGUUAGGUGGAAAUGGCCGGCAUAUGUGUUUCUUUCAUGCUUUACUGCAUCCUGUAUUUUUAUUUUGUUGCACUGGCACGACCGCCUGGCACUGGCACUGGCACCCCGCGUACUGAUCUGAUGCUGUAAUAGCACGUAGCAUGCGUUCAGAUUAGUUAGGAUAGGGAGCUGAGCUCGCUGCCAACAAGGUCAAUACUAGCAUCCAUUUUUUUGCAAACUAGGACACAAUCAGGUGAAAAGCUUGAGCUGCAUUCUUUGUCUAUUUAACUUUAUUAGUUCUGUUUGUUUCGUGGUAUGCUGUUAUUUACAUGUAAGCCCUAGAGAUUCUUUUAUUGAUGUUAAACAAUUACUUUUGGAUGCUCCUGAAACAUGCUUCUAUGCAUGAUACAAUUUGAUAUUGCAUACUGAAGUCAGCUCAUCAGUUAGAAGACUACAAUGAAAUAUCUGAAAUAGCAGAUAUAACUUCUAGUGGAUGUUCACUGGAGAUGGUUGCUAGUAUGUAACAACUUCUAGUUUCUUCUCUAUUGUCAUAUAUAGUGCUUAUUUUCUGGAGCUAACGUAAAUGUUCUUUCAGCAACAUACAAUGAGAGGUCUAUUAGGUCACAUCUCUGACGUGUGAAGGGGCUACUAUCUCUGUCUAGUCUUUAUGUUUCCCUGUCAACGUCCUUAGCUCUGCUUCAGGAGUCUGCUCAAGGAAAAUUAGCAGGACUUAUAUAUGUGAUCUCUGUUCACUGAUGUGGCUGGAGCGUCAUGUCAACUGCUCACCCUCCCCCUAACAAAUUAAACUACACGGAUGAGUGGAGCUUCAUGUUGGAUGAUCCAUGCACCUUUUAAGUUUUGGAACGUCGUACUCAAAUGUAGCUUGUGUUGGUUGAACCUAUUGUACUUUCUUUUGGAUUUAAAUUAUAUGAUAUUUAAACAUUUUUUAUGUUUAAUACUUGUGUUGGAUGCU